AGAGUUUGAUCAUGGCUCAGAUUCACCGCUGGCGGUAUGCUUAACACAUGCAAGUCGAACGGUAACAGUCCCUCACCUAGAAAUUUCUUAAAAAGAGAUUUGUAGGUGAGGGAGCUGACGAGUGGCGGACGGGUGCGUAAUGUAUAGGAAUCUGCCUAGUAGUGGGGGACAACUCGGAGAAAUUCGAGCUAAUACCGCAUAAGCCCUACGGGGGAAAACGGGGGAUCUUCGGACCUCGUGCUAUUAGAUGAGCCUAUAUUAGAUUAGCUUGUUGGUGAGGUAAUGGCUCACCAAGGCGACGAUCUAUAGCUGGUCUGAGAGGAUGAUCAGCCACACUGGGACUGAGACACGGCCCAGACUCCUACGGGAGGCAGCAGUGGGGAAUAUUGGACAAUGGGCGAAAGCCUGAUCCAGCAAUACCGCGUGUGUGAAGAAGGCCUGAGGGUUGUAAAGCACUUUCAAUUGGGAGGAAUACCUAAUAGUUAAUAGCUAUUAGAUUGAC
rnacentral:rRNA from 1 species